UAGGGAAGAGCCAAAUACAAUAUCACACAAUAUAGAUUAAACUAAACGUAGAAGUCAUUAAUCUGGUGUUGUUUUAUGUUUCUAAUUUUGCAUAAUUGUGUACAAUACACUGUAUGACUGGGGUAAAGUACUUAGUGGCACAUGGUUGGGGAGAUAUUAGACAGGAUACCAUUUUCCAAUUGUCAGGGAACUAAAGUCUACUGUGAGGGUGAGUGGGGUCAGAGGUUAUGUUACGUAACACUGAAUGAAGCGUCUCAGGCGAUGGAAGGCAGCUGGGUGCCAACAGUGCAGUCAUCUGCUUUUACUACCCGCUGCAGAGCCCUUUGUUCAGCCACAGUGCAGGUGCAAUACCACACUGUUGUGCAAGGUGUUACAAUGCAGCGGUAGAAGUUGGCGAGAGACCUCGUCAGAUCCUCAAGGAUUUCCAAGCUUGUUACCUGCUUGACCUCAGCACCACUGAUGAAGACGGCGUCCUGUCCACUUUUCUUGGACGUCCUGUGAUCCACCAUCAGAGUAAAGGUUGUUGGUAGAGCACCAUGCCUUCUGAUGUUGGAUCUCCUCUCUGCAGACCACCUCAUUAUUUGCCAGUCGACCUACGACUGAUGUUGGAUGGGUGGAUGUUGGGCACACGUGUCUAAAUAAGAAGUGUGAAUUGGACUUGACACGCAACCUUGAAGAGCACCUGUGCUUUGGUUGCACAUCCUUCCAGGUUGAGGUGUGUUAGGAUGUUUUCAAACCUGCAGCUUGUUUAUUCUGGUCCUAAUCAGUCGAUGAGUUUGUAAACUUGCAGCCUUUAGUUUGUUUUCACACAGAGAAAAAAUUAAAGUGAACUCCAAGCGAACCAACUUGUGUCACUACAAACCACGUGAGAACACGGAGUCCGCUCAUUGGCCGGAUGGUUUGGGGGCAGGAGCAACGAAAGUGAGAACUGGAUGAAGGCUCUGUGUGACAAAACUGAGGAUUAACGUCCCUUUCACAGCUGGUUGCUAGCCCGUAUAGACCUUUGCACAUCUAAAGCACCUCCAUGCAUAAAGAAUACAACGCAUACGGGACGUUUUUAGCUCACAUGUGUAAUGUACACCUAACGAUUACUGUGUUCACACCUGCACUGCAAGGGGUGGGGAAACGACUUGACACCGCACGUGUGAAAGCACCCUGAAUCAUAAAGUCCUGCACCGAAAUCUCAGGAUAUUCUUUUGAGGCCAAGAUGGAGAGGUUUGAACGGUGUGGUACACAAAGAAACUGUCGCUCAGCGAGUAGAUAAGAGAGGGAAAAACCUAGUGUUAGGUAAAGAGCCACAAGAGGGCGCUAGAGGUAAGGAAAACAUUUAAAGAAAAGCUGCAGAGGAAAACCAAACGUGGACAAGCGGAAAGAAGAAGAAACAGCAAGACCCCAAGAAGCAUUUACCCAGAUCAGGAAAGUCUGGUGCACCAAGCUGCAUUUGUUCAACCCAAAUGUCAGUCUGUAUACAAAAGUUUCCCUGGGUAAAGUCCAGACUUUCGUAUAACAGUUUCAGCUCUGACUCUUCUCAGAUAACUGGCUAGAAAGGUUUAAUCAAAAUCAACUUAUGGCAGCAGACAGAGCAACGGUCCAGGAAGAAAGAUCUCGAGUAGGAGGUGGGGAUGGCUCGGGACACCCUGAGAAAGCCGACAUCCAGCAACACAAAACAGUCCCUGACCUCGAGCCCUUGGGACACACAUCAACAAAACAGGGAUGGGAUGGGCGAUAAAGGCAACUCAGGACUGAGAGUGCUGAGGGGCAACUGCCAAUAGCCUUCGUUCCAGGAGGGGCAAGAGGCCUAACAACGCGAUGAGAUGUUAUACUAGCAUUACCAGCACCCUGCAAAGGGCAAAGUACACUCUAAGAAAACUACAAAGGGUAACCCUUACUAGAAAGCCAUAAAAACAGUUCCUGUAUAAGUACUCAUAGUGAGACAGAAACAAAGCCAGUGAUACAACUAUCAUGCCUGUAAUCACAUAUUUCUAUCUGAAAAUUAAAUUAGUUCUUUUUAUGUCCUAAAAAUAUUUUUUUGCAUUUUGUAGAUGUGAUAUUGUUCCGCAUUUCCACUCCAAACAUCUCCAUUAAUAGUGUUAAGCUAACUCUAAGGCACAGUGCAAAAAGAGGAAACCAGGCUGGAGGCAUUUCUGUGCUGAUAAAGGAGCGCCUCACCUCAGUCUGAGCGUGAGAAAGCUAUCCCUGCCCCUGUUUGAUCGCUCUUAGCUUAUUUACUCAGCUUUCAUCCAGGUUUAACAUACACAGCUCUACCUUUUUCUCACUGACUCAAGUUUCCUGACUCAUGACAACAGGUAGGCCUUCAGAAGACAAACCAAACAUGUGUUACUUUACAGCCACUGAGCCCCUGAUCGGUGUGAGCCGAGGCCGAUUUCUGAGUUUUGUGACCUCCAGACCUGGCGGGUUAAUGUGCAUAUUUUCCUCAGUCUUGCAAACUGUUGCCACAGUUGGACUUGAACACAUUCCUCCUGAGUCUGUCGGUGGGAUUUGGUUUAUUUACACAAAUCACAGCAUGUGUAGUUGUAAGAUUUACAGCUUCAGACGGAGCAGCCGAGCCAAAGGCGUUGGGGCACCACAACACAAACAGGCACGCCCUCACAGAGCUGAAAUUCAGUUUCCAUGCUCUUAACUGCAGUAGUGUACUCACUGUGGAAAGUCUUUUCUACAGAUAUUCAACCAAUAAAAGACAAUAAAUCCAACAGAAAGAAGACAAAUGGCUUAAAAUGUUGAGUUAAAAAAAUAAAAUAAAAAAUAGUGUUAAAUGAAUUAAAUAGUUAUAGAAAUAAGACAAAAUAAUUAGCCAAUAAAAGAGUUUUUAAAAAGCCUAAAUACAGAGUUAAAGCAAUGGUAAUGAAGAACUUAAAGUGAUGAAUAAGUCGUUUUAACAGGCGUAGUAGAUUAAAGCCAGUUGGUAGAUAAAUAAUAUUUGUAUUACUAGAUAAUGGGGAAAUGGUUACAGUCCUGUUGUCAAUAAA